GAUGAACGCUGGCGGCGUGCCUAAUACAUGCAAGUCGAGCGAACGGACGAGAAGCUUGCUUCUCUGAUGUUAGCGGCGGACGGGUGAGUAACACGUGGAUAACCUACCUAUAAGACUGGGAUAACUUCGGGAAACCGUAGCUAAUACCGGAUAAUAUUUUGAACCGCAUGGUUCAAAAGUGAAAGACGGUCUUGCUGUCACUUAUAGAUGGAUCCGCGCUGCAUUAGCUAGUUGGUAAGGUAACGGCUUACCAAGGCAACGAUGCAUAGCCGACCUGAGAGGGUGAUCGGCCACACUGGAACUGAGACACGGUCCAGACUCCUACGGGAGGUAGCAGUAGGGAAUCUUCCGCAAUGGGCGAAAGCCUGACGGAGCAACGCCGCGUGAGUGAUGAAGGUCUUCGGAUCGUAAAACUCUGUUAUUAGGGAAGAACAUAUGUGUAAGUAACUGUGCACAUCUUGACGGUACCUAAUCAGAAAGCCACGGCUAACUACGUG
rnacentral:rRNA from 1 species